ACGUAGGGUGCGAGCGUUAAUCGGAAUUACUGGGCGUAAAGGGUGCGCAGGCGGUUUUGUAAGCCAGAUGUGAAAUCCCCGGGCUCAACCUGGGAACUGCUUUUGGAACUACAAGGCUAGAGUUGGUCAGAGGGGGGUAGAAUUCCAGGUGUAGCAGUGAAAUGCGUAGAGAUGUGGAGGAAUACCGAUGGCGAAGGCAGCCCUCUGGGAUAAAACUGACGCUCAUGCACGAAAGCGUGGGGAGCAAACAG
rnacentral:rRNA from 1 species